CCUACGGGAGGCAGCAGUAAGGAAUAUUGGACAAUGGUCGCAAGACUGAUCCAGCCAUGCCGCGUGAAGGAUGACGGCCCUAUGGGUUGUAAACUUCUUUUGUAUGGGAAAAAACCUCUCUACGUGUAGAGAGCUGAUUGUACCAUAAGAAUAAGGAUCGGCUAACUCCGUGCCAGCAGCCGCGGUAAUACGGAGGAUCCAAGCGUUAUCCGGAUUCAUUGGGUUUAAAGGGUGCGUAGGCGGAGUGAUAAGUCAGUGGUGAAAGCCUGCAGCUUAACUGCAGAACUGCCAUUGAUACUGUCAAUCUUGAGUACAUUUGAUGUGGGCGGAAUGUGUCAUGUAGCGGUGAAAUGCUUAGAUAUGACACAGAACACCGAUUGCGAAGGCAGCUCACAAAACUGUAACUGACGCUGAGGCACGAAAGCGUGGGUAUCAAACAGGAUUAGAUACCCUGGUAGUCCACGCUGUAAACUAUGAUUACUCGAUGUUUGCGAUACACUGUAAGCGUCUAAGCGAAAGCGAUAAGUAAUCCACCUGGGGAGUACGCUCGCAAGAGUGAAACUUAAAGAAUUGACGG
rnacentral:rRNA from 1 species